rnacentral:rRNA from 1 species
GAUCUGGCUCAGGACGAACGCUGGCGGCGCGCCUAACACAUGCGAGUCGAACGGAGAUUACAGGCGGAAGUUUUCGGAUGGAAGCUUGUAAACUUAGUGGCGGACGGGUGAGGUAACACGUGAGCAACCUGCCUAUCAGAGGGGGAUAACGAUUGGAAACGAUCGCUAAUACCGCAUGACAUAGCGGAACCGCAUGGUUCUGUUAUCAAAGAUUUUAUCGCUGAUAGAUGGGCUCGCGUCCG